UGAUUUUUAUAAACUAGUGUAACCUACCCGAACCCUUUUCGAACUCGAUAAGUAAAGCCACUAGUUGCCAUAUGUACUGCGUUGAGUGGGAGACAUGGUAAAAGUCAAGAU
rnacentral:rRNA from 1 species